rnacentral:sRNA from 1 species
AGCCAUGAUUGACUCCAAUUCAGUCGGUUGUGGUUAGGCGGCCGCCCCCGUUGGCGCGGGGUCGGUCGCCGCU